rnacentral:rRNA from 1 species
CCUACGGGAGGCUGCAGUGAGGAAUAUUGGUCAAUGGGAGAGAUCCUGCACCAGCCAAGCCGCGUGAGGGAAGACGGCCCUAUGGGUUGUAAACCUCUUUUGUCGGGGAGCAAAAGACGCCACGCGUAGCGUUACGAGAGUACCCGAAGAAAAAGCAUCGGCUAACUCCGUGCCAGCAGCCGCGGUAAUACGGAGGGUGCGAGCGUUAAUCGGAAUUACUGGGCGUAAAGCGCUCGUAGGCGGUAUGUCAAGUCAAGGGUGAAAUCCACGCGCUCAACGUGGGAACUGCCUUUGAAACUGGAAAACUGGAGUGUGUGAGAGGAUAGUGGAAUUCCAGGUGUAGGAGUGAAAUCCGUAGAUAUCUGGUGGAACAGCAGUGGCGAAGGCGACUAUCUGGCACAUAACUGACGCUGAGGAGCGAAAGCGUGGGUAGCAAACAGGAUUAGAUACCCGAGUAGUC